AGUGAUAAAAUAAAAUUACAAAAUUAAAAACUCACAGACUGGGAAUGCAUGACAUCAUGAAACAUCAUGUAAACACUUACAUAUUCCAAUAAUAAUAGUUAUUAAAAUCACUACAUAAAGUAAAAUCUGAAGAUAUGAAAAUAUAAAUACAACAGUAAAACAUACUGUGGAUGUGAAAUGCACGAGGCUACCAAUUACGUCCAACUAUUUCGAAAAGCUGCACUGAUGUCACACGCCCAACUAUUUCGAAGUGCUGCACCGACAACAAACAGUGACAUCAGCAGCGAAUUUCAAAUCAUAAGCCACACCAUUUCCAGGCCAAGGAAAUGCAACGCGGGUCAUUUGAAUUCAAAACAUGCUCCUUCCUACUCAACUUAUUUAUCUGUAGCAUCUCUGCCAUUCUAACGUUGGUGUUUUCCAUUCCACUCAUAAUGGUCUUCGCAUUGUUCCACUCUGUAUCAAUGUCAUGUUCGUGCGCUC
rnacentral:lncRNA from 1 species